rnacentral:rRNA from 1 species
GUUCAAGAGUACGUGAAACCGUUCAGGGGUAAACCUGAGAAACCCAAAAGAUCGAAUGGGGAGAUUCAUCGUCAGCAUUUUCUGUAUAUAUGCGAGUUGUGAUGCGAGUUACUCUUGUAGUAUUGCUUGCACAUUCUUGUAUAUUUGCAUGCAGGAUUUGUCGGCGUGCACUUCUCCCCUAGUAGGACGUCGCAACCCAUUGAGUGUUGGUCUAUGGCCUGAGUGGGAGUCUUUAAAGUUUUGUACUUUGAAAACCCUCGGUGUUUCCUGACCAACUGCUCGGUGGUAUUCCAAGGUAUUAAGCCGCAUUUAUGCGUCCAUGCCCGUCGCAAGCGCGGUCAAUUUCUGGUAGUGCGGACCUAGUGCCGUCGCUGGAAUUGAUCAGCUGUUGGUUGUACGGUGUUCUGGGACUGGCUAAUAUUACCUGUUAGCAAUGCUACUGCUUUGGGGACUUUCUGGACCCGCCUUGAAACACGGACCAAGGAGGCUAACAUGUUCGCCAGUCAUUGGGAUUUUUUCUAAUGAAACCUAAAAGCGGAAUGAAGAUAAAGGUUGACCUUGCUUUGACUUAUGGAGGAUGAUUUAUUUUAA